CAGUAGCCGCGGGAAAACGAAGGUCCCAAGCGUUGUUCGGAAUCACUGGGCGUAAAGGGAGCGUAGGCGGCGUGGUAAGUCAGAUGUGAAAUCCCGGGGCUCAACCCCGGAACUGCAUCCGAUACUGCCAUGCUUGAGGGUUGGAGAGGUAGCUGGAAUUCUUGGUGUAGCAGUGAAAUGCGUGGAUAUCAAGAGGAACACUCGUGGCGAAGGCGAGCUACUGGACAACAUCUGACGCUGAGGCUCGAAGGCCAGGGUAGCGAAAGGGAUUAGAGACCCCCGUAGUCCCUGUCUCUUAUAC
rnacentral:rRNA from 1 species